GAUGAACGCUGGCGGCGUGCCUAAUACAUGCAAGUCGAGCGAACAGACGAGGAGCUUGCUCCUCUGACGUUAGCGGCGGACGGGUGAGUAACACGUGGAUAACCUACCUAUAAGACUGGGAUAACUUCGGGAAACCGGAGCUAAUACCGGAUAAUAUAUUGAACCGCAUGGUUCAAUAGUGAAAGACGGUUUUGCUGUCACUUAUAGAUGGAUCCGCGCCGCAUUAGCUAGUUGGUAAGGUAACGGCUUACCAAGGCAACGAUGCAUAGCCGACCUGAGAGGGUGAUCGGCCACACUGGAACUGAGACACGGUCCAGACUCCUACGGGAGGCAGCAGUAGGGAAUCUUCCGCAAUGGGCGAAAGCUUGACGGAGCAACGCCGCGUGAGUGAUGAAGGUCUUCGGAUCGUAAAACUCUGUUAUUAGGGAAGAACAAAUGUGUAAGUAACUAUGCACGUCUUGACGGUACCUAAUCAGAAAGCCACGGCUAACUACGU
rnacentral:rRNA from 1 species